CCAAUUUGAUGAUGAAAAUCCAUGCAUGAUAUUGUUCAUUGAAAGUUUAAAUUGAUUAUUGGAACGACGAUUUUUAAAACGGCGACGGCUUUUGCAUUUUUCAAAUUCUUGGAAAAUCUCACUCCACCCAUUGUAAUGCUUCUUCUUCUUCACAGCGUUGAAACAGUCACAAGUUUCUUCUUCUAUAGACAUUGAAUCAAGUUUUCUUGUGUUAAAUGAUUUAUUUGUGUAAAGAAUGAUAGAUGAUUU
rnacentral:lncRNA from 1 species